GUACACGCUGUGACUAGCAUAUCAAUAAGCGGAGGAAAAGAAACUAACAAGGAUUCCCCUAGUAACGGCGAGUGAAGCGGGAAGAGCUCAAAUUUGAAAUCUUAAAGGGUUUCCCUUUACGAAUUGUAGUUUAAAGAAGUGUUUUCUGUUGAGGUUUUGGUAAAAGUUCUUUGGAAUAGGACAUCAUAGAGGGUGAGAAUCCCGUAUUUGACCUUUACUUUCAACUUUGUGAUACACUUUCAAAGAGUCGGAUUGUUUGGGAAUGCAGUCCAAAAUGGGUGGUAAAUUUCAUCUAAAGCUAAAUAUUGGCGAGAGACCGAUAGCGAACAAGUACCGUGAGGGAAAGAUGAAAAGAACUUUGAAAAGAGAGUUAAACAGUACGUGAAAUUGUCAAAAGGGAAGCGUUUGACACCAGUGUUGUUUUUCUGAAAAUCAAUUAAAGAACUGUUUAUGCUAAGUUGUUUAGACUUUAUCAGCUAACUGUUUAGUUUUGAGCUUUUCUUUAAUGCACUUUUCAGUUAACAAGUCAACAUCAAUUUCUUUUGCUGUAAAAAAGCUUGAGGAAGGUGGCUUGAGAUUCGUCUUAAGUGUUUAUAGCCUCUUGCCUAUGCAGUCGGAGAGAUUGAGGUCUGCAGCGUAGAUCCCUUCGGGGCUAAAUGCAUUUGUGCUAAGUUAUAGCAUUUCAUAGACAACUUGUUGACUAUGAUUUGUCUUGUAGCUUACUCGCUUAUGUUAUAUUACCUACGCUUAGGAUGUUGACAGCAGUAUAGACUGU
rnacentral:rRNA from 1 species